rnacentral:lncRNA from 12 species
CCACCUUUCGAAACCUUUUCAUCCUACCUCAAUCUUCCAGGUCAAAUGAGAAUUUUAGUCUUAAUAUGGCAGUUUCUCACAGUGAUAGCGUCUUUGAAAGAGUUUAACCAGCUUCAAUUCUUUGGUUCAUUAGUAUGGCAAACAAUUAAAUUCUAAGUUCUCAUCCAGAGAUCUUCCUCCGUGUGAGUUACUGUGCUGAGACACAGCAACUUAAGGUAGAACCAUGGGGGUAUAUCUUCCUGCUUAUCAAAGUGAUCCUGGCUCUUAUUGGUCAUGUGAAUUACAGCUGCUCUCUUGGCCCUUGGGUCUGUCCAAACAUCAAACACCAGACAAUUGAAUGUUCACAUUCUUUUUUUUUUUUUUUUUAAGAUUUUUAUUUAUUUAUUAAUGAGAGACACAGAUAGUGGGACAAAGACACAGGCAGAGGGAGAAGCAGGCACCUUGCAGGGAGCCUGAUGUGGGACUCGAUCCCAGGAUCCCCGGGAUCAGACCUGAGUCAAAGGCAGAUGCUCAACCACUGAGCUACCCGGGCGCCCCGAAUGUUCACAUUCUUAUGCCUUCUAGAACGUCUGGAGAUUUGGUGAGUCACACUUUGCCCAAGCCUUGGGUGUUGGAAGUUUGUAUCUACCUAGCUGGGCAGGACUUGCCUCAUCCAUGUCUAAUUUAACCCUACAAAGUGAUGGAAGCUGCAGGAAGAAUCAAUCCCAACCGAGAUGAAGAAAACCCAACUUCCCUUUCAUCUCCGUUCAGCAUUGGAAGUCAUUGCAACGCAACAAGAAAAUGGGUCAUCUCUUAAACUUCCUGGGCCAGAGUUAUAUUCAGCAGUCCCCAGUCACACCGUGGCAGAUCUCCAUAACAGAAAAUAAAAGAAAUAAAUUCAGCAGGAUGAGAAAGAGCAACAGCAGGAGUCAAUGUGGGCAGAGGGAAGAAACCAGCUGAACAGUUUUGUAUUGUUCAGUUCUCUUUCAUUUAUUCCUUUUUCCAAGUCACUUCCAUCCUGAAGAAAUGGAGUGGAGAUGCUCCCUGCAUUUCCCUUCUGUUGUUACUUAUCUAGAUGGGUGGUAAGUGCACCGGGCAGAGGUCAUGUCUACGCUCUACAAGCCUUUUGAAAAUAUUUACACUACAGGUGGGGCCAAUCCUUGUUCACAAACCCAACCCCCCGGAGAAAAGAAUGCAGAGUCUGUAGGAACCAACCAGCCUCCACUUGCGUUCAGGUUAAACUUUCCAUCCUGAUGCCAGACCACAAAGAACAGAGCGCCCCAGAAGUUUCC